GGCAUCUGACCUUAGUGACUAAGACAAGGUCAGACAAAUACGUGUUAGGCUGUUAUGGCUGCCCAAAUGGGGAGCUGGUCCCUUCACCCGGGGUGAACACUAGGAAGUGGCGAUCCCCCAGUCACCAGGCAGAGGCGAGAACUUGAUGCAAACAGCAAGAGCCUUUGUUAUUCAGUAACUGGACAUAGGACAUUUCAGGAAGACCGAAAGAAGAAAGAAUCAAAGAAGAGCUCAGAGUCCUCCAGAGGUGACCAUGUGUGUGGUGUCAGCAGCAUGGGAUGCCAAGAGAAGGUUCCCUGAAGAUGAUGAGAAGAGUUCAGCUUGAGGUGGAUUGGACACGCUGAUCCUUCUGACCCAGCAACAGAGGGCUGGGGUUAAAGGUGUGACCUCAAGUCCGCAAAAACCUACUAAGGAUAUCACAGAGCAUAGGAAAUACCAUGGUAAAUCCCAGGAUUUUCAUUUCCUGUAAUAAUUACCCCAAAUUGCAAAGAAAAAUUCCUGUACAAUGUCCUGAACAAUAGAAAGUGUGUGUGUGUGUGUGUGUGUGUGUGUGUGUGUGUGUGUGUGUGUGUGUGUGUGUGUGUAGCACCUGUGUGGAAGGACAACUUACAGGAAUUGAUUCUGUCUUUCUACCAUGAGUUCUAGGGGUUGAAUCCAGGUGGCAAG
rnacentral:lncRNA from 1 species